CCCUCUCCAGGUGAACCACACGGUGGCUCUGAGCACCCUGGGCGAGUCCAAUUAUCACUUUGGGGCCACCUACGUGGGCACCAAGCACCUGAGCCCCACCGAGGCGUUCCCGGUGCUGGUGGGGGACAUGGACAACAGCGGCAGCCUCAACGCGCAGGUCGUGCACCAGCUCAGCACCAGGGUCAGAUCCAAAAUCGCCUUCCAGACCCAGCAGUCCAAGUUCGUGAACUGGCAGGUGGACGGCGAAUAUCGGGGCGGCGACUUCACGGCGGCGCUGACCCUGGGCAACCCCGACAUCCUCAUGGGCUCCGG